UACAGAGGUCCCAAGCGUUGUUCGGAUUCAUUGGGCGUAAAGGGUGCGUAGGCGGUUUGUUAAGUUUAUUGUUUAAUCCUCCGGCUUAACCGGAGAAAUGCGAUGAAAACUGGCGGACUAGAGGGUGAGAGAGAGGAGUGGAAUUCCCGGAGUAGCGGUAAAAUGCGUGGAUCUCGGGAGGAACACCAAUGGCGAAGGCAGCUUCUUGGCUCAUUCCUGACGUUGAGGCACGAAAGCGUGGGGAGCAAACAGG
rnacentral:rRNA from 1 species